AGGAUUAUAGUUUAAAAAAAAACAUUUGAUUUGCAUUCAAAAAAUAUUUAAUUAAAUUUAUCUUA
rnacentral:tRNA from 1 species